rnacentral:lncRNA from 1 species
GUUUAUUCUUACUGGUUGUUUUUUUACUUUUCAAACUAAUCCUUCAUGGAAAAUAACUAUAAUACUGUUUCAUCAUUUUUUGCUUUAGAGUUAUUUCACUUUUUAAAAAGAAUACCAUUUUAUUAACCCACAAUAAUAGAAUUGUCAAUUGAAGCUGCAUGUGUAGGCUGGUCAGUGCAUUAUCUGCUAGCAGAAAAAUCUAUACAGGAAGCCAGGAUAUAAUUCAAAGAUUAUUUUGUUAAUAGGCAGAAAUAUAAUUAGGUUAGUUUACUAAUAGGGAAACCAAAGAAGGAGAUUACAUGGUUGGCUCAUUAAAUCCUGAUGCCUUUUUGCUACCAACUCCACAGUGGGCUCUUCCUGCCAAGUCUGAGGUAAAAAGAGGUUGUUUGCUCAACAGUUAAAUGUCAGGGACAGGACUGCAAAACCCUACUCUUAAUCACUGUAUUUUACCCUUACCUAGAGCAAGAAAGAGAAGUAGAGUUGGUAGCAAAGAGGCAUCGGACAAAAUUCCGCUCUUUUACAUUAGGUUUCUUUUAGUAGCAGUUCAAUUUAUUAAAUUGUUGCAUCAAAACAAAGCAGAAGCCUGGCAUGUUGGCAACCCUGUAAUCCCAGGAGGAUGAAAAUUGGAGGCAAGCCUGCACUACAUACUGUAUGUAGCAAGACCCUGUCUCAAAAAAACAAAGAGCCAGAUGAGGUUGUACACAUCUGAAAUCCCAGCACUUGGGGUGCUGAAGCAGGAGGAUCACUGAGAGUUUGAGAGGCCAGUUUGCACUACAAAGCAAGAUCCUAUUUAAAAGAAAAAACAAAAACAGCUUGAACUCCAUAGUGAGACCCUGUCUCAAAAAACCAAACCGAAACAAAAAAACCAAAACAACAACAAAGCCCAACUCAUUUUCAUUGAUUUUAUAUUAUUAACAUUAUCCAUUGCCUUCUUCCAUAAGUAUUUACAUCUGUGAGGCAUACCCAGGUACUAAUGCGAUGAAAGUCCUGAUUGCUGCCUAUUUCAGGCUCUAAAUGCAGAUGCCUGGCUAACUUCUUACCCUUUCCUUCCCAGGUCAGCUGCUACUUCCUGGGUGAAGCUUUCACUUACAGAGAUUUCUCACAAGGUUCUGUGUUUUCUUUCAUGGCACUAAGAGCAGC